UACGAAGGGGGCUAGCGUUGUUCGGAAUUACUGGGCGUAAAGGGCGCGUAGGCGGUACUUCGAGUCAGGCGUGAAAGCCCCGGGCUCAACCUGGGAACCGCGCUUGAGACUGGAGAACUAGAGUUCGGGAGAGGAUGGUGGAAUUCCCAGUGUAGAGGUGAAAUUCGUAGAUAUUGGGAAGAACACCGAUGGCGAAGGCAGCCAUCUGGACCGACACUGACGCUGAGGCGCGAAAGCUAGGGGAGCGAACGGG
rnacentral:rRNA from 1 species